AAGCCAUGGUGUGGGCAUCUCCUUUGAAGGUCUUUGAAUCUUUCCCAAGUUUCAUAUAAUGACUCUCCUUCAUGUUGAUUAAAACCUAUAAUAUUCAUAUGAAGUUU